UAAAAAUACUAAUUAAAUUGAAAUGAAACAAUAAUUAAAUGUACGGAUUAAUUUAAAACGAGGAUAAAAAGAUUACCAAAAGCCCUCGGGCCUUUUUGUUUUUUUUUCUUUUCUCUUUUUUCCUUUUUUCUUUUUCUUUUCUUUUUCCUCUUUUAUUUUUUAUUUUUGCAGAUUGGGCCGCUGGGCGUUGGGUUGACUGCUGGCCUACUGCUGGAACGGGCCUGGGACUGCUGGACUGGGUGCUGGCCUGCUGCUGGAAUGGGCCUGGGGCUGCUGGAGCUAACCUGCUGGAGCUGCUGGGAGUUGGGCUGGGCAGUGGCCUGCUGCGGGUUGUGGGCCUGCUGUCUUGGGCUUCUGCUGCUGGAUCAGCCUGCUGAUUCUGCACUAAUCUGUUGCUGCUGUUUUUUAUUCUUUAUUAUUUUUUUCCUUUUUCUUUUUUUUCUUUUCUUUUCUUCUUAUUUUUUCUUUUUUCUUUCUAUUUUUCUUCUUCUUCCUCUUUGGAAACCUAGCCCGCCGCUGUUUCUCCCCUGUCGUUCACUGCUGCCGUCGACUCCUCCGUUCGGUGGCGUUGGUCACGGCGUUUUCCUUUCCCUCAUCUCUUCUUCUUCUUUCUUCUCUUCUUUCUUCUUUGCUUUUUUUUCUUGCUACUGUUUUUUCUUUCUUUUGUUUAUGCUUGCUCGUUUCUUGGCUUGACUUCGGUGGGGAGCAACGAUGGUCGUGGCGCGGCGGUCGUGGUGGCGUGGGUGCGGUUGCGGUGGCAGAGGAGGGCAUCAUGGCCUAGGCCAUCUGCCGGAGUAGCUGGAGGUGAGGGGAAGCACGCUCGACUGCUGAUUGGGGGGUCUGACAUGCCCAGAAGGACCAAAAUGUAGAAGACGUAAAACAUUUGGGGUAAAAAUGUAAUUUUAGGAAAAUAUAGGGCCAACAUGUAAUUUCUAGAAAAUUUAGGGGUCAAAGUGAAAUUUUGAGAAAGUUUAGGGUUUGAAAUGUAAUUUAGAAAAGUUCAUGGGCCAAAAUGUAAUUUUUAUUUUUUGUUUUGUUUUUU